rnacentral:lncRNA from 10 species
CAUUUGCACAGGGCCACACAGCAAAAUGCAUGGCAGGGUCCCAAUUCCAACCUGAAUUUGUUCAACUCCAAAGUCACAUUGCCUGGUACAUGGCAGGUGCCCUAUAAUAAGAAUCAUUCCUUUUCUCUGUUACUGCUUGCCCCAGAAAGCAGGAGGGACAUAAACGUGUGGCCCAGGGCCUUCAGGAGGACACCCUCCUUCCUCUCCCCCACGCGAAGCCCUCUCCCACCAUCCAUUAACACUCCCUGCCCCUCAGUCCACAGGAAACGUGUGGAUGACACACGAGGAGAUGGAGUCCCUUACGGCCACGACCAAGCCCGAGACCAAGGAGAUCAGCUGGGAGCAGGUAGGGGGCGCGGGGCGGGGCGUGAGCGCAUGAACAGGCUGUGCACGACGCAUGGAUGCCCCUCCUCCGAGCCCUGCCCCUGCCUUCACCAGAACAUGCCAUCAUCCCCAUGGGGGGGCGCUGCGCCAAGCUUGGCUCUGGACUGUUCCAUUAUGGCUUGGCGGUGGGGAGGGUAGAGGGGAUGCGAUGUGGAAGCCCAGACUGUUGCAUAGUCAG